rnacentral:rRNA from 1 species
CCAGCUCCAGUAGCGUAUAUUAAAGUUGUUGCAGUUAAAAAGCUCGUAGUUGAAGUUCUGCAUUAGCCCGAGCGCCCCUAGGGUGCGACGGCUGGUGCAUCCGCUUGAGCAGCCAGCGGGUAUUGAUUUAUCCGUAUGGUGAUCAGGCACUUUACCUUGAGAAAAUUAGAGUGUUCCAGGCAGGCAAUCGCCUGAAUAGUACAGCAUGGAAUAAUAGAAGAGGACUAAGCCUCAGAGUUGGUGCUUGGGGUUUAGUAAUGAUUAAUAGGGACAGUUGGGGGCAUUCGUAUUUAAUUGUCAGAGGUGAAAUUCUAUGAUUAAUUAAAGACGAACCUAUGCGAAAGCAUUUGCCAAGGAUGUUUUCA